CGUGGCGGCAGCUACCAUGCAAGUCGAACGCUGAAGCACCAGCUUGCUGGUGUGGAUGAGUGGCGAACGGGUGAGUAAUACGUGAGUAACCUGCCCUUGACUCUGGGAUAAGCCCGGGAAACUGGGUCUAAUACUGGAUGCUACAUGUCACCGCAUGGUGGUGUGUGGAAAGGGUUUACUGGUCUUGGAUGGGCUCACGGCCUAUCAGCUUGUUGGUGAGGUAAUGGCUCACCAAGGCGACGACGGGUAGCCGGCCUGAGAGGGUGACCGGCCACACUGGGACUGAGACACGGCCCAGACUCCUACGGGAGGCAGCAGUGGGGAAUAUUGCACAAUGGGCGAAAGCCUGAUGCAGCGACGCCGCGUGAGGGAUGACGGCCUUCGGGUUGUAAACCUCUUUCAGCAGGGAAGAAGCCACAAGUGACGGUACCUGCAGAAGAAGCGCCGGCUAACUACGUGCCAGCAGCCGCGGUAAUACGUAGGGCGCAAGCGUUGUCCGGAAUUAUUGGGCGUAAAGAGCUCGUAGGCGGUUUGUCGCGUCUGCUGUGAAAGCCCGGGGCUUAACCCCGGGUGUGCAGUGGGUACGGGCAGACUAGAGUGCAGUAGGGGAGACUGGAAUUCCUGGUGUAGCGGUGGAAUGCGCAUAUAUCAUGAGGAACACCGAUGGCGAACGCAGGUCUCUGGGCUGUUACUGACGCUGAGGAGCGAAAGCAUGUGCGAGCGAACAGGAUUAGAUACCCUGGUAAUCCAUGCCGUAAACGUUGGGCACUAGGUGUGGGGGACAUUCCGCGUUUUCCGCGCCGUAUCUAACGCAUUAUGUGCCCCGCCUGGGGAGUACGGCCGCAAGGCUAACACUCAUAGGAAUUGACGGGGGUCCGCACAAGCGGGCGGAGCAUGCGGAUUAAUUCGAUUCAACGCGAAGAACCUUACCAAAGGCUUGACAUAUACUGGGAUCGUUCCGAGAGAUGGCUUCAUUCCCCUUUUGGUGUCUGGUAUACAGGUCGGUGCAUGGAUUGUCGUCAGCUCGUGUCGUGACGAUGUUGGGAUUAAGUUCCCCGCUACGAGCCGCCAACCCAUCGGUUCCAUGUUUGUCAUCAUGUGCAUGGUUGGGUACGUCAUGGGAGACUUGACUGUGUCGACUCGGACGUAGGUGGAGAAUGGACGUCCAAUCAGUCCAUGUCCUCGUAAUGUUCCUUGGUCCUUCCCGGCAAUGCUACCAAUGCUGGUUACGAGGCUUGCAUGACUGGGUCACGCUGGAGACCUAUGAGUUCUCCA
rnacentral:rRNA from 1 species